rnacentral:rRNA from 1 species
CUACCUACGGGGCGCAGCAGUGAGGAAUAUUGGUCAAUGGGCGGGAGCCUGAACCAGCCAAGACGCGUGAGAGAAGAAGGUACAGCGUAUCGUAAACCUCUUUUGUCAGGGAACAAAGGCGGGGACUAGUCCCCGGAUGAGGGUACCUGAAGAAAAAGCAUCGGCUAACUCCGUGCCAGCAGCCGCGGUAAUACGGAGGAUGCGAGCGUUAUCCGGAUUUAUUGGGUUUGAAGGGUGCGUAGGCGGGCUUUUAAGUC